GAGCAUGCCGCGUGGAUGAAGAAGGCCUUCGGGUUGUAAAGUCCUUUCGUGGGGGACGAAAAGGCGGGUCCUAAUACGAUCUGCUGUUGACGUGAACCCAAGAAGAAGCACCGGCUAACUCCGUGCCAGCAGCCGCGGUAAUACGGGGGGUGCAAGCGUUAAUCGGAAUCACUGGGCGUAAAGGGUGCGUAGGCGGUACGUUAGGUCUGUCGUGAAAUCCCCGGGCUCAACCUGGGAAUGGCGGUAGAAACCGGCGCACUAGAGUAUGGGAGAGGGUGGUGGAAUUCCAGGUGUAGCGGUGAAAUGCGUAGAGAUCUGGAGGAACAUCAGUGGCGAAGGCGGCCACCUGGCCCAAUACUGACGCUGAGGCACGAAAGCGUGGGGAGCAAACAGGAUUAGAUACCCUGGUAGUCCACGCCCUAAACGAUGAAUACUAGAUGUUUGGUACCUAGCGUACUGAGUGUCGUAGCUAACGCGAUAAGUAUUCCGCCUGGGAAGUACGGCCGCAAGGUUAAA
rnacentral:rRNA from 1 species